UUCUUCUGUGUAGGGUUACGAUUUAGCCCCAAAAUUUCUCCUCUUCUCUUUUCCGGAAAUCUUUACCCGUUGUUUUAUUCUUGCCAAGAGCCACUCUCAAAUUCUAGCACAGUCCCACACCCUCAUUCGGAUACAUUCUUUCCAGCCCCAUUAAUUUGUCCUUCUGCAAUUCCACCCGCAAAACCUUAAAUUGGAGGUGGUAGUGGAUUUCAACUCUGGCGCCGAGCUUCUUUGCCACAAGUCAUACACCUCCCCCAAUCGCGGCCUCGUCUCUUUUGGCAAUUGCUUCCUCCCCCCUUCCAAACUAGCGGCUCUGUCAAUUAAGUACUGGGCCUAGUUGAAGGUGAGUUCUAUGCACUCAACUUGCUCGAUGAAAUGCCUCAACGAAGUCGUCUGCAAGUUCGAGCCCGAGUACAGAUUGAUUAGGAAUGGACUAGAUACAAAUGUACUUUCAUCAAGGAAGCAGUUGAAGGAGAGGACGAACAGAGCAAAGAAGAUUCGAGGAACAAAGGCUAGAGAUGCUGCCAAGAAGAAGUGAGAAUAGUGAUCUUCAUGCUUGGUGUUGGCGGGAGCAAACAGUUUAAAUGUCUUGGGCUUGCUGGAGGUCAGCUCUGUGUUGUUCUACCUUAUGUCGAAAGCCUUGUCUUGCUUGACAGCAAGGAUGCAACUUUUUAUUAAGGUGAAAUAUAGAUGGAGAGCAAGUGCAUGACUUUGAUUCGGAGAUGGAGUCACAGAGUCUUUCCCUAUAUAUAUAGAGGCAUAUUCCCAUUUGUUUCUGCAUCAUUCGAUUUUCGAGUAAAGGAGCUUCGACUGGGUAUAUUUGAUUUUGAUAGGGUCCUCAAUUUAUAAUUGCUCGAUUACUGAUAUCCCGUGCCAGUGUCAUUCGACACCAUUACAACUUGCCCAAAACGCCAAGACUGGGUUUCAAAGCCUUUGUGAGUUUUCGGCUCUCUGUCUCCACCGCUUCACCAUCAAGGUUAGCUUUGCAUCAUGAGAAAAAGUGCACAGCUUCUAUGUUAUCUUACUUGUACUAUCAUAUUGUCGUUAAGCAAAGUUGGAGUAUAUUUGACACAUUUUGACGCCUCUAUUUGUGAUACAUGUCUCGAGUGUUUCCUUCAGCUUUACAAACUUAAGAAUGGACAAUAGACAUCAUCCAGUACAUAAGAGGCUAGGACUCAGCACCUUUGCAUUGAGAACUUGCAUCAGCUUACUGUAUUGAGGUAUACGACAUACUAUCAACCUCUUGGCUUUCUGGCUUCAGCAAAAUCAUGACCGGUGAAGCAUACUUUGUGAUACCUUGUAGUCUUCAUAGAGAAGCGUUUUCCUCUCUUUUCUUAAUGUAAGUUCAGGGCUGCAAUAUACUUCAAGCAUUUCAGCUUCUUUUAGUUCAUUUGUGUCCUAGAAGAUGGCAGAUUCGAUUGAACUUCUAUGAGAGCUUGCAAAUGAAAGAAUCAUCACCACUACAAGCUGUUUUAUCGACUUAGAUAUAUAUGAUAAAUUCUUGGAAGCAUUAGUUAUUGAUCAUUAUAAGCUUUUCUUUGUAGUUAGGAAUGCUAUAUUCUACAGGUACAUUACCUAUAAUUUAAGUUUGUAUACAUUUGUAGUUGGAUAUUUGAAUGGUAUGAGAUCUUUCGAUAUUAU